UACAGAGGUCUCAAGCGUUGUUCGGAUUCAUUGGGCGUAAAGGGUGCGUAGGCGGCGCGGUAAGUCGGGUGUGAAAUCUUGGAGCUUAACUCCGAAACUGCAUUCGAUACUGCCGUGCUUGAGGACUGGAGAGGAGACUGGAAUUUACGGUGUAGCGGUGAAAUGCGUAGAUAUCGUAAGGAAGACCAGUGGCGAAGGCGGCUUCCUGGACCGACACUGACGCUGAGGCGCGAAAGCUAGGGGAGCAAACGGG
rnacentral:rRNA from 1 species